rnacentral:rRNA from 1 species
UACGAGGAGCCCAAGCGUUAUCCGGAUUUACUGGGCGUAAAGGGUGUGUAGGGGGUUUUGUUAGUCUCCUGUUAAAGCCUUCGGCUUAACCGAAGAAAUGUGGGAGAAACGGCAAAACUUUGGAGGAUGCCAGAGGCAAGCGGAACUCACGGUGUAGGGGUGAAAUCCGUUGAUAUCGUGGGGAACACCAAAGGCGAAGGCAGCUUGCUGGGGCAUUCCUGACCCUGAAACACGAAAGCGUGGGGAUCAA